rnacentral:rRNA from 1 species
CGCGUUGGCCCAAUUGAUUGAUGGUGCUUGCACCUGAUUGAUUUUGGUCGCCAACGAGUGGCGGACGGGUGAGUAACACGUAGGUAACCUGCCCAGAAGCGGGGGACAACAUUUGGAAACAGAUGCUAAUACCGCAUAACAACGUUGUUCGCAUGAACAACGCUUAAAAGAUGGCUUCUCGCUAUCACUUCUGGAUGGACCUGCGGUGCAUUAGCUUGUUGGUGGGGUAACGGCCUACCAAGGCGAUGAUGCAUAGCCGAGUUGAGAGACUGAUCGGCCACAAUGGGACUGAGACACGGCCCAUACUCCUACGGGAGGCAGCAGUAGGGAAUCUUCCACAAUGGGCGCAAGCCUGAUGGAGCAACACCGCGUGAGUGAAGAAGGGUUUCGGCUCGUAAAGCUCUGUUGUUAAAGAAGAACACGUAUGAGAGUAACUGUUCAUACGUUGACGGUAUUUAACCAGAAAGUCACGGCUAACUACGUGCCAGCAGCCGCGGUAAUACGUAGGUGGCAAGCGUUAUCCGGAUUUAUUGGGCGUAAAGAGAGUGCAGGCGGUUUUCUAAGUCUGAUGUGAAAGCCUUCGGCUUAACCGGAGAAGUGCAUCGGAAACUGGAUAACUUGAGUGCAGAAGAGGGUAGUGGAACUCCAUGUGUAGCGGUGGAAUGCGUAGAUAUAUGGAAGAACACCAGUGGCGAAGGCGGCUACCUGGUCUGCAACUGACGCUGAGACUCGAAAGCAUGGGUAGCGAACAGGAUUAGAUACCCUGGUAGUCCAUGCCGUAAACGAUGAGUGCUAGGUGUUGGAGGGUUUCCGCCCUUCAGUGCCGGAGCUAACGCAUUAAGCACUCCGCCUGGGGA